UGCCAGCCGCCGCGGUAAUACGGAGGGUCCAAGCGUUAUCCGGAUUUAUUGGGUUUAAAGGGUGCGCAGGCGGGACGAUAAGUCAGUGGUGAAAUCCUACAGCUUAACUGUAGAACUGCCAUUGAUACUGUUUUUCUUGAGUAUAGAUGAAGUGGGCGGAAUGUAUCAUGUAGCGGUGAAAUGCAUAGAUAUGAUACAGAACACCGAUUGCGAAGGCAGCUCACUAAACUAUUACUGACGCUGAGGGACGAAAGCGUGGGGAGCGAACGGGAUUAGAUA
rnacentral:rRNA from 1 species